UUCCCUUGAGGAUAGUCCAGGUUCUAAUGGAAGUUGGUGACCCCUCCAACUUACCAACAACAGAGGUCUGAUGUGCCUCUAUUGCAGUUGUUCACUUCUGUUCUAUCUUCCGGAGCUCAGCAAAAGGGCCUUUAUGACCUCCUGUGCCUCUGCAAUGUGGAUCCAGAUUCAAGUACCGUCACAGCCAUGAGGCCUGAGCACAGGGGAGGGGGGAAUGCUGCAGAGGCACCCACAUGGCUGGACAGUUCCCACUGGUCUGCUCCAAUGAAGGCAUGGGAUGAUCGAGUCUGUAUGAAUUGAGUGAAAGACACAAUUGCAGUAGCAGCUGUGGACAGAUGAACUGGUGGCCAGGAGCGCAGCCAUGAGCACACCCGUGAUCCACUUAGAGCGGCGGAGCCCACGGAGAGCCUGAGUAAAGAUAUCAAGGGCGUGGACUCUUCCCUGGGAUGGGUUACACUGGCAGGUGAAUAAGCAAAUGCCUUUUGACAUAGCACUAAAAUGUUAGAAUUU
rnacentral:lncRNA from 1 species